GACGAACGCUGGCGGCGUGCUUAACACAUGCAAGUCGAACGGAAAGGCCCUGCUUUUGUGGGGUGCUCGAGUGGCGAACGGGUGAGUAACACGUGAGUAACCUGCCCUUGACUUUGGGAUAACUUCAGGAAACUGGGGCUAAUACCGGAUAGGAGCUCCUGCUGCAUGGUGGGGGUUGGAAAGUUUCGGCGGUUGGGGAUGGACUCGCGGUGUAUCAGCUUGUUGGUGGGGUAGUGGCUUACCAAGGCUUUGCCGGGUAGCCGGCCUGAGAGGGUGACCGGCCACAUUGGGACUGAGCUACGGCCCAGACUCCUACGGGAGGCAGCAGUGGGGAAUAUUGCACAAUGGGCGGAAGCCUGAUGCAGCAACGCCGCGUGCGGGAUGACGGCCUUCGGGUUGUAAACCGCUUUCGCCUGUGACGAAGCGUGAGUGACGGUAAUGGGUAAAGAAGCACCGGCUAACUACGUG
rnacentral:rRNA from 1 species